UGUUUACCUUUUAGUAUAUGUGCUCGUUUGCUCACAGUUGAUUACUUUGUUUGAUCUAUAAAUUUAAUAAUUUGAUAAUAGUUCAACUGAACUAUUUGCUGUUAUUUGUAAAUAAGGGCCAAUACUAUCUUAUGUCUUUUAUUUGCAGCCCACACUUGUAACCCAACUUUAACAACUGUUAACUCACCGUUUGAUCUCUCUUCGCGGAUUCAACACUUCUUCUCUCAUAUCUCUGCUCUUAUUCCUCCCUUCCCUUCAUUACCCAGAAUCUGUAUGCCAGAGGAUCUAAAAGCUUACUCUUCUUCUAACUUGUUCUUUCUUGUUGAAAUUGACAAAUAACAAAUUGUGCGGCUGGCUUCGUUCUUCUCCACAUCUAAAUUGUUUUGUAGAAAUAAUGGGUUCUGAACAAAAAAACAAACAUGUUUGCUUCGCAAAAUCGAAAGCUGAGAUGAAACUUAGGCGACAUGAAACGUACUGACUAAUAUUUGCGGGAAAAA